rnacentral:rRNA from 1 species
AUUGAACGCUGGCGGCAUGCCUUACACAUGCAAGUCGAACGGCAGCACGGGAGCAAUCCUGGUGGCGAGUGGCGAACGGGUGAGUAAUACAUCGGAACGUGCCCAGUAGUGGGGGAUAACCCGGCGAAAGCCGGACUAAUACCGCAUACGACCUACGGGUGAAAGCGGGGGAUCGCAAGACCUCGCGCUAUCGGAGCGGCCGAUGUCAGAUUAGCUAGUUGGUGGGGUAAAGGCCUACCAAGGCGACGAUCUGUAGCUGGUCUGAGAGGACGACCAGCCACACUGGGACUGAGACACGGCCCAGACUCCUACGGGAGGCAGCAGUGGGGAAUUUUGGACAAUGGGCGCAAGCCUGAUCCAGCCAUGCCGCGUGCGGGAAGAAGGCCU